rnacentral:rRNA from 1 species
UACGUAGGGUGCAAGCGUUAAUCGGAAUUACUGGGCGUAAAGGGCUCGUAGGCGGCCAACUAAGUCGGACGUGAAAUCCCCAGGCUCAACCUGGGAACUGCAUCCGAUACUGGAUGGCUUGAAUUCGGGAGAGGGAUGCAGAAUUCCAGGUGUAGCGGUGAAAUGCGUAGAUAUCUGGAGGAAUACCGGUGGCGAAGGCGGCAUCCUGGACCGACAUUGACGCUGAGGAGCGAAAGCCAGGGGAGCAAACGGG